rnacentral:rRNA from 1 species
AUUGAACGCUAGCGGGAUGCCUUACACAUGCAAGUCGAACGGAGUGGCGAACGGGCGAGUGAUGUAUCGGUACGGGCCCAGUAGCGGGGGAUGACUACGUGAAAGCGAAGCUAACACCGCAUACUCUUGGAGCGGUCGAUAUGGGAUUAGCUAGUUGGUGGGGUAACGGCUCACCAAGGCGACGGUCCGUAGCUGGUUUGAGAGGAAGACCAGCCACACUGGGACUGAGACACGGCCCAGACUCCUACGGGAGGCAGCAGUGGGGAAUUUUGGACAAUGGGCGAAAGCCUGAUCCAGCCAUCCCGCGUGUACGAUGAAGGCCUUCGGGUUGUAAAGCACUUUUGGCAGGAAGGCGGUACCUGCAGAAGAAGCACCGGCUAACUACGUGCCAGCAGCCGCGGUAAUAC